GAUGAACGCUGGCGGCGUGCCUAAUACAUGCAAGUCGAGCGAACAGACGAGGAGCUUGCUCCUCUGAUGUUAGCGGCGGACGGGUGAGUAACACGUGGAUAACCUACCUAUAAGACUGGGAUAACUUCGGGAAACCGGAGCUAAUACCGGAUAACAUGUUGAACCGCAUGGUUCAACAGUGAAAGACGGUCUUGCUGUCGCUUAUAGAUGGAUCCGCGCCGCAUUAGCUAGUUGGUAAGGUAACGGCUUACCAAGGCAACGAUGCGUAGCCGACCUGAGAGGGUGAUCGGCCACACUGGAACUGAGACACGGUCCAGACUCCUACGGGAGGCAGCAGUAGGGAAUCUUCCGCAAUGGGCGAAAGCCUGACGGAGCAACGCCGCGUGAGUGAAGAAGGUCUUCGGAUCGUAAAACUCUGUUAUUAGGGAAGAACAAAUGUGUAAGUAACUAUGCACGUCUUGACGGUACCUAAUCAGAAAGCCACGGCUAACUACGUG
rnacentral:rRNA from 1 species